rnacentral:misc_RNA from 1 species
UCUCCGUAGGUGAACCUGCGGAGGGAUCAUUACAGAGUUCAUGCCCUACCGGGUAGAUCUCCCACCCUAUGUUAUUAUUACUUUGUUGCUUGGGCGGGCCGUUAGGCUCCGGCCCGACUACCGGCCCCGGCUGGUAAGCGCCCGCCAGAGGACCCAAAACCCUGAAUAUUAGUGUCGUCUGAGUACUAUAUAAUAGUUAAAACUUUCAACAACGGAUCUCUUGGUUCUG